rnacentral:rRNA from 1 species
GUCUACAGCCACACCACCCUGGACGUGCCCGAUCUUGUCUGAUCCUGGAAGCUAAGCAGGGUCGGGCCUGGUUAGUAACUGGUUGAGAGAUUUCAUAGGUAAAUCAUUUCUAAAUAUU